AGUCGAGCGGACAGAUGGGAGCUUGCUCCCUGAUGUUAGCGGCGGACGGGUGAGUAACACGUGGGUAACCUGCCUGUAAGACUGGGAUAACUCCGGGAAACCGGGGCUAAUACCGGAUGCUUNAUUGAACCGCAUGGUUCAAUUAUAAAAGGUGGCUUUUAGCUACCACUUACAGAUGGACCCGCGGCGCAUUAGCUAGUUGGUGAGGUAACGGCUCACCAAGGCAACGAUGCGUAGCCGACCUGAGAGGGUGAUCG
rnacentral:rRNA from 1 species